rnacentral:lncRNA from 1 species
CUGUGCCUUAUUGAGCAGGGUCUAGAGCAGUGCAGGGCUUCCUUGGACUUCCCUUGUCCUGGUCUCAGGCCUGGAUUUUGUUCCUGUCUCUUUCCAAUCUACUCUAAGUCUAUUUCUAAGCUUCUGAACGCAUAUUUCUCAUCCUAGUUGCAGAGUAUACAAAAGUUUCACUCUAGCAGCAUUUGGGAAGAAGAAACCAUUUGAGGUAUUGGUAUUGCUGACAGAAAUAGUCACUUUAUAUUCCUACUAAAUCUUUGUACUGUGGUAUGAGCCAGAGGAGCGUUUGUUACACUUGGCAAUUUUUAUUCAAUACUUUAUAGAUUCAGUGGUAAGUGGCUAAACAAGGUAGAAGCUGAUAAAAUUUAUUUGGAAAAAUCUAGAAUCUUAGUUCUAAAUAUCAAAAAUAGUAGAAAAUAAAAAGUGUAGCUUGUAGGCCAUAUAAUUGACAAUAACAAAAAGUCCCAAAUGUUAUUUUAACCAACAAAAGGAGUAUGUUUGGCUGCUAUAAUUGAACUAUAUGAAAGAUGUAUUAUGUGGUGGCUUUUAGCAGCCCAUUUAAAAAACAUGUCCCUGUAUUAGUUUUCAACUAUAAAGUUUAAGUAAUUUGGCCUAAUCAUCUGAAAAUAAUUUAUUAGAUCAUGCACUAUUUUUUGGUAGUAUGAUUUAUUUCUGUAUUUUAAUUGAGUAUUUUCCCUCAAACUUGGUUAUUGGACUUUAUCCUAAAUAGUAAUUAAUUGAGAAAUUCAAUUUUGGUUUUCAAAAUUGAUUCUUAAGAGAAAUAUACCCCCAUAAGAAAAUAAUAUCACAAUCUCAUAAGGAUAGGGAAUGGAGACUUGGUAGUCUGAAAACAUACAUUCAGUAUAAAUAUAUGUAGUCAUUUAUAUAGUAUAUUAGAUAAUUUUAUAUUUGUGAAGACAAAGAUCUAUGUUUUACAAUGUAAAUGAAAAACAGGCAAAGCCUAAUCAGAUAUCCAGCUGGUGAAGCCAUUGAUCAGUGUUAGGGAUUUACAGUCGGGAGAAGACGCUCUAGUUGCAGACCCUGAGUCCCCUGGAGAGAGAAGUAGACAGUAGACAAACGAGUCGCACAUUUCCAGAGGAAACAUCACAAGUUAGAUGUGAAAAAUGCCCGAGGCUCACGCAGUUGCUGGAAAUAAUCGUUACUUCUAGAUAGAAAGUAUUUUGGUGCUUUUGCAAAAGGAUAAUGUUUAUUAAGAAACUUGACAUUUUCUAGGUAAUUUUGCUUUGCACAGUUAAUGUUUAUUGAGCUAAAUUAAUUUCCACAAUGCAAAUCAUAGUUAAAUAUGCAAGGUUGUAUAAAUACAGUUGAAAUAGGAAUUACAUUAAAACAGUAGGAAGAAAUAAAACAAAUUUAGACCUUGAAUCCAAAGAGAUAAGGUCUACUUGACUUUCAAAUGGGGGAAAUGAUGAAAGGCCUCACCCAGUCUCAGAACAGACAGAUGAGUGUGAUAAGAAAGGAAGGGGUGGAUGCAGACCCUGACAGGGCAGACACCUUCCACUCCUGUAAUAAUGGGAAAGAGCAGGGCUUAGAGAUGAUGCAGCCGCGGGAGUCAGGAUGAGUAAACAGCCUGCCCUCCUUUCCUAGACUCAUGGCAAUCCUCCUGCUUCAUGUGUAACCUGGGCUGGCCGCAGAUUCAUGGCAAUCCUGCUUUCAGGCUUCCAGUGCUGAGAUUUUAUGUCUGCACCCCAGCUCCCAUUUCUGACUUGUUGAUUUUGAAGUCAUGCCCACGAUUACAGCUUUGUCAAUUAUUCUCAUUUAUUUCUAUUUGUUUUGCUCUAUGUAGUUCCCAGUUAUGUUUUUAGGGGUAAUAAAGUUCAUGGCUGUUGGAUCAUC